rnacentral:rRNA from 1 species
CCUACGGGAGGCUGCAGUGAGGAAUAUUGGUCAAUGGACGAGAGUCUGAACCAGCCAAGUAGCGUGAAGGAUGACUGCCCUAUGGGUUGUAAACUUCUUUUAUAUGGGAAUAAAAUGUUCCACGUGUGGGAUUUUGUAUGUACCAUUUGAAUAAGGAUCGGCUAACUCCGUGCCAGCAGCCGCGGUAAUACGGAGGGUCCGAGCGUUAUCCGGAUUUAUUGGGUGUAAAGGGAGCGUAGGUGGAUUGUUAAGUCAGUUGUGAAAGUUUGCGGCUCAACCGUAAAAUUGCAGUUGAAACUGGCAGUCUUGAGUACAGUAGAGGUAGGCGGAAUUCGUGGUGUAGCGGUGAAAUGCGUAGAUAUCACGAAGAACUCCGAUUGCGAAGGCAGUUCACUGGACUGCAACUGACACUGAGGCUCGAAAGUGUGGGUAUCAAACAGGAUUAGAUACCCGAGUAGUC